rnacentral:rRNA from 1 species
UACGUAGGGGCCGAGCGUUGUCCGGAGUUACUGGGCGUAAAGCGCGCGCAGGCGGCUCGUCAAGCCUGACGUGAAAGCCCCCGGCUCAACCGGGGAGGGUCGUCGGGGACUGGCGGGCUUGAGGUCGGCAGGGGUUGGUGGAAUUCCCGGUGUAGUGGUGAAAUGCGUAGAGAUCGGGAGGAACACCCGUGGCGAAGGCGGCAUCCUGGACCGGCAUUGACGCUGAGGAGCGAAAGCCAGGGGAGCAAACGGG